UUGGUAUAAAAUCUGACUGCUGCACUGCAGAUAAUAGGCUUUGGUCACUGGAGUUGCUGCUGUGCUCCGAGCUACUCAGCACUGGGGCUGAGAUUGGUGAAGGAUAGAGCAUCAUGUGCUUAGAGUUCACGAGGUCCAUGACGUUUGUUUCAUCAGAACACGUUAUGCAAGUUGUGGCGCCUACCAAAAUAAUGCAUCAUUAUUGCCAGCUCAAGACAGUGGCCACCGUAAUCAAAAUGUGUGCUGGAGAUAUAGUAUCAUUAUAAGAAUAUGAUUAGGCAGACGAUAUGCUCUGCUCGAAUGGGUCUCAGAAAAGGAUGUUGCAGUGCAGAAUGCACUCGAAGUUUCAGUCUGAAGAAAUGACGGAGUGAAAAUGGUGGCUUUGCAUGAAUAUAAUUAGGUUGGUGGAUGGUGAUGAGCUCAUCCACUCGCGAACGGCCUUAUGCAGAGCAUUUACUUAGUGGCGGAUAAGGUUAAGUGAAAGUGGAAAAUUUUCGUUCAGGAUCCAUCUGUUCGGUGGUUUUCAUCAUUUAAUUCGUGCUGCAAGUGGAGCAGAUUGCCCUGUCCUUGGCUGAGCCCACCUCACUCCCUAUCGAACAUGGAGGGCCUAACCAGGUAACACUCCACUUUUUUUGAAGUUGAAGCUGAACCUCUCGAAUGAUCAAGACCGUGUCUUUUUCUGGGCAGAGCUUGAAGUUCCAGCUCUAAGUUCCUAUGAAAGUGCUUUUGCAUUUUUCUGAUCUCAAAUCUGGGAGCUUCAAAUAGAGCCCGAAUCUGUAAGCCGAGUUGCAAUAAAGUUCGAAUAAGUGUGUUUGUUUGAUUUUGACAUAAUUGGAUUCAGUUUCAGAAAAUCAUGUUGAGAGUUGGCAUCCGAACAUGAAGCUGUAUACGCUAGAUCCAGAUUUGUAGGAUUUGGCAAAUGCGUAGUACAGCCUUACCCAUAACAACUGUCCACGUCCACACUGUGAAAAGUCAUCAUCGACUCUUAAGAACUCUCUAGAAAGCUCAAGUCUAAGCAUAUCGACUUAGAGAGCCGGAGUCUCUUGUUUUGCUAAACCGUGUGCUAUAUAAAAAAUAGAAAAUAUUUUACCAAGUUGUAGAAUGUUGUGGAAGUCUCCACCACUGACAUUUUCACUCCUAUAAAUAGCGCAUGGGUUCUCAGUGUACAAUUUCUUAUGUGUGGUGUCAAGUGAAGCGUGGGUGCGUCAAGUGGAAGGAGUUGUUCCCUUUGGGUCAUGCGUGAACUGCUGGUGGCCAUGCUUACUACGAUCAUUUUGGAUUGCAAAAUUUGCGAAGAAAGCUUAUGAUUACACGUACCAUCCUGUUUAAACGAUUCAGAUCUCAAAUCUCAGGAGCAGGACCUAGGAUCUUAGGUACAUGCACUUUGAGUCUGAAAAGAACGAAUAAUUGCAUAGUUUCAGUUGAGGUCCUUAUGGCACCACAAAUAUGUGGAUUGCAUAGACUGGGGCUUUGGUAUGGGCCAUGCACUAAAUCCAAAUCCAAACUCUAGAUUUUGGGGACCAUGUUUCUUCGUCCAAGUUGAGAUGGAAUCGUUCAGGCAGUUAUUCAACAUCCCAGUUAAAGAUCCUUCUCGAAAUUCGUUCAUCUACAUCAGAGGGACCUGAAUUGAUUGGAUGCUUUUUGGUAGAUCGACUAAGUUUAUAAGAAUGCGCUUCAAGGAAGAAAAAGUUUAAGUAUCUCGAAAUGUUGAGGAAACAUAAAGACAUGCUUGUGAAUACUUUGUUUACCUGUACAUGCAUGCAACCCAGUGAACAAGAGAAAGCUGAAAAAAAUAUCAUGGGUUGCAAGUUCAAAAGGGUUUUGCUACAUAAAGAUAGAGCUGACGGAUGUAAAAGAGAGCUUCUUUCUCCAUGAAGAGUGAUUGAAGAAGAAAUUAUUUCCUCAUUUAUCAGAAUAUAUGAUCUAUCUGUGAAAAGUCGGGCCACACAAGCUAAUUAAUUUGAAUCUGAGAAUAUUGGUCGUGGUUACUUUGUGCUGCUGAUAAAAACGAAGUGAUACAUUGAAAAUGCGUAAACGACACAGGAAAGAACAAAAAUUUAUUUAUGUCAGAACUUUACCAAGCUGAAAGAGCGUGAGGUUGAUUGUUCAUCUUCUCUGAUGCAAGGAACCUGUACACACAAGAAGGAAGAAGACAUAUGAAGGACUGUUUUUUCUUUUGUUUCUUUGACGACAGGUUGAGGCCAUAAGGCCGGCCCUGCCGAAGUUAUCUCAAGCGAGAUAAGAUGCACCAGAGCUAUCGAACUUUCGUUCAACUUAAAUGCGAUCAGUUGAGUUUCAGAUGGCC